UACGGGGGGGGCAAGCGUUGUUCGGAAUUAUUGGGCGUAAAGGGCUCGUAGGCGGCCAACUAAGUCAGACGUGAAAUCCCUCGGCUUAACCGGGGAACUGCGUCUGAUACUGGAUGGCUUGAGUUUGGGAGAGGGAUGCGGAAUUCCAGGUGUAGCGGUGAAAUGCGUAGAUAUCUGGAGGAACACCGGUGGCGAAGGCGACAUCCUGGACCAACACUGACGCUGAGGAGCGAAAGCCAGGGGAGCAAACAGG
rnacentral:rRNA from 1 species